rnacentral:lncRNA from 1 species
CCAAAUCAAUAUUAACCUGCGCAGGGGAGAAAAAGCCCAUCACAUGAGACGCCGCACAGAGUUCUAGCACACUAGUCUACCCAUGCAAAGAUGUUUCCAGAAAUUAGCUCCACCAACUCAAGACAACUAAUAUUUUUGCUGAUAAUAACAAGUAUAGCAAAUCAUAUGAAUAUAGUUCAUAAAGGGACCCGAUACAAGAACUAAUUCAAAUUUGUAACUACCUCCGUAUCGAACUGAAGUUUCUUUCCACAAUCCAACUCCAUUUGCAGACUAGGAUCUUCUGACAAUCAAAAUCCACAAUGCAGAUCAAAGAAGCCAUGAUCAUGUCUUCCUCACACUGUCAGGAGAGAGUAGGCGCAUUUUGAGUGUCAAUGAGCACAUGAACCCUUUAAAGAGCAAAUGGGAUAGAGUCAUCACUAUUUCAAGCACUAUCGCAAUAAAUUCUCUUCUCUGUGUGCACAUGCACAUUUUCUCAUGUGUGAAUCUAACUUUCUCAAAUGAUACAAAGGCAUAAAAGAACCCUCUGCUGGUAGUUUUGAGGAACAUUUUGAGUGAACUAGGAACAGUUCAUCACACCCAUUUUCCAAAGAUGCCUCAUGAGUCUCUAGACCUCAAUUACAAGGAGUAACGUACCAUGUCCUUGCAUUUGAAAUGCCCAAUCGGCAGAAGGAUAGAACUCUUGCCUGCCUUGGAUGAUAGAGCCAAAGAAAAGCAUCGAUUCCUUGAAUAGAC